UCCGCGUGGCGUGCUUUAUUGAACUUGUUGGUUGGUUAAAAUGGUUAAGACCGAAGAAAAGAAACUUGAGUUGAUUUCUUUAUGACUAUUCUAUGAAAUAUUUGUUGUUAAGACGAUGUGAAAUGGAAAGAAUAUAAAAAAACGGACAUAGACAAAGAAUUAUGCACACAUUAUGCAGGGAAAGGGAAUUUUUGACACAGACCUGUCUUUACAAAGUCCAAAACUACUUUAGCGUAAGGGCUGGAAGACCUGUCAAUUGAAGAAUGUCAAAAUUGUCGGAGAUAAAAAAAAGAAAACAGAAGACGGAUGGUGACGUCUCUUACUAAAAGAUACAACACAGAAGAAUAUUGUUGAGUCUGGACCUUACCCCAACAAGUAUGGUGAAGGAGUCUUGUCCUGUCCUAUUUUCCAAUUGUUGACUCUCUAAAAAGAACAUCCCAAUGGAGAAGAACAUAUCUAAAAAGUUACAUGAGUUUUCAGCUGCAAUGUUGGUGGAAGAAUAACGCUGGACAGAUCAAGCUGAAUUAUUCACAUCCAAAUCCAAAACAUCAAACAAAGAAAAAGUGAAUCAUAUUGUUGGAAAAUGUUUAGUGACUGUAUUCUAGGUGCAUUAUCUACGACUCUACGUUAUCUCCAAUAAAAACCGAAUUAGCUUGCUCUUCACUCAUCAAGCACGAAAGAUUGCAGUUAAUUAAACAAAGACAGAGUUUGUUUCGCCAUAACAAAGAGUCUAGGGAAAGCCCCGGACAAACCCGUUCUUGUUAUAAGAACACGAAGCAUUUAAGGAAAUGUUUGCUUCAGCCAUAAUAUUUGCAGCUGCUGUCCCACUGGUAUUGGCAAACAACGCCCCAACCUAUUCUAGUGAUGUCUCCAGUACGGCCGACAAUUCGUGUGAGAAUUAUCCUCCGCUUAGUGGUGCAAAAGUUCCACAAAAUGGAAAAGCGUCUAAUUCUUCUUAUCCUGAUGAUGGCUGUGGAGACUAUUCUGUCCGAUUUAAGGGCGAUGGAUACUGUUAUUCACUUCUGAAGAAAGGACCUUGUGAGAAUGUGUUAUUUUGGAUUACGGUCGACCCGUAUACUUACGAGGGAAUAUGCACUCCUCGCCUUUGUGGCAGAGAAAAAGUGUUCGUCGGUCGAGAUGGUCUUUGUCACGAUGUUUACGAUACUAAAGAGUGUCGCGGAGGUAGGCGUCUUUAUUACUCGGCUUACGGAGAUCCAAUUUGUGAUUGUCCUAUUGGGCAAUAUCCAUUCCCAUCGGAAGAAGACGAUUGCGUUCCUUUAUUUACUCAAGGGCCGUGUCCAACCAAUCAGGUUGUAUCCGUUAGUUCAUCUGGUAAAUUAGAGUGUUUCCCCAACACUUGUCAACUUGUUGAUAGAUAUCAGGACUGCCUCCUGCAAUUGGUCCCAGUUAAACAAUCAAGAAUAAGUAACGAUGACAACGGCGAUGAAUAUGGAUACUGCUAUGGGUUAGGCACUCGUGGACCUUGCUCACCUUCUGAACUUUUUGGUUACAACAUCUUUCACUGUCAGGGAGAGUGUGCUGACAUGGAUGACCCUAGAACGCCUUACUUUUCUUCUCCGGAAGAGAAUGCAAUUUUAGAUGAUGUCUUUGAUCGGGCCGCAAACGAACCCAUAAAAACAAAGAAUAACAAAAACAAGUAGAAUUCCAACAUCUCUCCUAAAUCCUUGUCAACCUGGCGGUCGAAACGGAAAUAAUUUCAAGUGUGCAAAUCCUUUGGUUCCUAGUAGACCCAUACGUGACGUUAGUAAGCCUGUCAGUCCUGCUUUCGGUUGCCGACCAAAUGAUUUCUUGCGAGCUACUGGACAAUGCGGUAGCAACCGUGUGCCAGCUAGCUGCGGACCUUCUUACAAAUUCAUCAAAGCUACAAACCAAUGUAGACCAAUUCGCUUUUGAAUUAAAUUCGCUUUGUAAUUAAAGAAUAUAGUGGAUAAUCCUGAAAUUCAACACAACUAAUUUCGUAAUUGAUGCGAAAAUACAAGUUUCUUAAUAUCGUA
rnacentral:misc_RNA from 1 species